rnacentral:rRNA from 1 species
AGUGGCGGACGGGUGAGUAACGCGUGAGAAUCUGCCUUGGGGUCGGGGACAACCACUGGAAACGGUGGCUAAUACCGGAUAAGCCGAUUGGCGAAAGAUUUAUUGCCCGAAGAGGAGCUCGCGUCUGAUUAGCUAGUUGGUGAGGUAAGAGCUCACCAAGGCAGCGAUCAGUAGCUGGUCUGAGAGGACGAUCAGCCACACUGGGACUGAGACACGGCCCAGACUCCUACGGGAGGCAGCAGUGGGGAAUUUUCCGCAAUGGGCGAAAGCCUGACGGAGCAAGACCGCGUGAGGGAGGAAGGCUCUUGGGUUGUAAACCUCUUUUCUCAGGGAAGAAGCUCUGACGGUACCUGAGGAAUCAGCCUCGGCUAACUCCGUGCCAGCAGCCGCGGUAAUACGGAGGAGGCAAGCGUUAUCCGGAAUUAUUGGGCGUAAAGCGUCCGCAGGUGGCGAUUCAAGUCUGCUGUCAAAGCACGGGGCUUAACUCCGUAAAGGCAGUGGAAACUGAAUAGCUAGAGUGCCGUAGGGGUAGAGGGAAUUCCCGGUGUAGCGGUGAAAUGCGUAGAGAUCGGGAAGAACAUCGGUGGCGAAAGCGCUCUACUGGACGGCAACUGACACUCAGGGACGAAAGCUAGGGGAGCGAAUGGGAUUAGAUACCCC